UGGUAGUCCACGCUGUAAACGAUGUCGACUUGGAGGUUGUGCCCUUGAGGCGUGGCUUCCGGAGCUAACGCGUUAAGUCGACCGCCUGGGGAGUACGGCCGCAAGGUUAAAACUCAAAUGAAUUGACGGGGGCCCGCACAAGCGGUGGAGCAUGUGGUUUAAUUCGAUGCAACGCGAAGAACCUUACCUACUCUUGACAUCCACGGAAUUCGCCAGAGAUGGCUUAGUGCCUUCGGGAACCGUGAGACAGGUGCUGCAUGGCUGUCGUCAGCUCGUGUUGUGAAAUGUUGGGUUAAGUCCCGCAACGAGCGCAACCCUUAUCCUUUGUUGCCAGCACGUAAUGGUGGGAACUCAAAGGAGACUGCCGGUGAUAAACCGGAGGAAGGUGGGGAUGACGUCAAGUCAUCAUGGCCCUUACGAGUAGGGCUACACACGUGCUACAAUGGCAUAUACAAAGAGAAGCGAACUCGCGAGAGCAAGCGGACCUCAUAAAGUAUGUCGUAGUCCGGAUUGGAGUCUGCAACUCGACUCCAUGAAGUCGGAAUCGCUAGUAAUCGUAGAUCAGAAUGCUACGGUGAAUACGUUCCCGGGCCUUGUACACACCGCCCGUCACACCAUGGGAGUGGGUUGCAAAAGAAGUAGGUAGCUUAAC
rnacentral:rRNA from 2 species